AGUCUUAACUGGGCGUUAAGUUGCAGGGUAUAGACCCGAAACCCGGUGAUCUAGCCAUGGGCAGGUUGAAGGUUGGGUAACACUAACUGGAGGACCGAACCGACUAAUGUUGAAAAAUUAGCGGAUGACUUGUGGCUGGGGGUGAAAGGCCAAUCAAACCGGGAGAUAGCUGGUUCUCCCCGAAAGCUAUUUAGGUAGCGCCUCGUGAAUUCAUCUCCGGGGGUAGAGCACUGUUUCGGCAAGGGGGUCAUCCCGACUUACCAACCCGAUGCAAACUGCGAAUACCGGAGAAUGUUAUCACGGGAGACACACGGCGGGUGCUAACGUCCGUCGUGAAGAGGGAAACAACCCAGACCGCCAGCUAAGGUCCCAAAGUCAUGGUUAAGUGGGAAACGAUGUGGGAAGGCCCAGACAGCCAGGAUGUUGGCUUAGAAGCAGCCAUCAUUUAAAGAAAGCGUAAUAGCUCACUGGUCGAGUCGGCCUGCGCGGAAGAUGUAACGGGGCUAAACCAUGCACCGAAGCUGCGGCAGCGACGCUGAUGCGUUGUUGGGUAGGGGAGCGUUCUGUAAGCCUGUGAAGGUGUGCUGUGAGGCAUGCUGGAGGUAUCAGAAGUGCGAAUGCUGACAUAAGUAACGAUAAAGCGGGUGAAAAGCCCGCUCGCCGGAAGACCAAGGGUUCCUGUCCAACGUUAAUCGGGGCAGGGUGAGUCGACCCCUAAGGCGAGGCCGAAAGGCGUAGUCGAUGGGAAACAGGUUAAUAUUCCUGUACUUGGUGUUACUGCGAAGGGGGGACGGAGAAGGCUAUGUUGGCCGGGCGACGGUUGUCCCGGUUUAAGCGUGUAGGCUGGUUUUCCAGGCAAAUCCGGAAAACUAAGGCUGAGGCGUGAUGACGAGGCACUACGGUGCUGAAGCAACAAAUGCCCUGCUUCCAGGAAAAGCCUCUAAGCAUCAGGUAACAUCAAAUCGUACCCCAAACCGACACAGGUGGUCAGGUAGAGAAUACCAAGGCGCUUGAGAGAACUCGGGUGAAGGAACUAGGCAAAAUGGUGCCGUAACUUCGGGAGAAGGCACGCUGAUAUGUAGGUGAAGUCCCUCGCGGAUGGAGCUGAAAUCAGUCGAAGAUACCAGCUGGCUGCAACUGUUUAUUAAAAACACAGCACUGUGCAAACACGAAAGUGGACGUAUACGGUGUGACGCCUGCCCGGUGCCGGAAGGUUAAUUGAUGGGGUCAGCGCAAGCGAAGCUCUUGAUCGAAGCCCCGGUAAACGGCGGCCGUAACUAUAACGGUCCUAAGGUAGCGAAAUUCCUUGUCGGGUAAGUUCCGACCUGCACGAAUGGCGUAAUGAUGGCCAGGCUGUCUCCACCCGAGACUCAGUGAAAUUGAACUCGCUGUGAAGAUGCAGUGUACCCGCGGCAAGACGGAAAGACCCCGUGAACCUUUACUAUAGCUUGACACUGAACAUUGAGCCUUGAUGUGUAGGAUAGGUGGGAGGCUUUGAAGUGUGGACGCCAGUCUGCAUGGAGCCGACCUUGAAAUACCACCCUUUAAUGUUUGAUGUUCUAACGUUGACCCGUAAUCCGGGUUGCGGACAGUGUCUGGUGGGUAGUUUGACUGGGGCGGUCUCCUCCUAAAGAGUAACGGAGGAGCACGAAGGUUGGCUAAUCCUGGUCGGACAUCAGGAGGUUAGUGCAAUGGCAUAAGCCAGCUUGACUGCGAGCGUGACGGCGCGAGCAGGUGCGAAAGCAGGUCAUAGUGAUCCGGUGGUUCUGAAUGGAAGGGCCAUCGCUCAACGGAUAAAAGGUACUCCGGGGAUAACAGGCUGAUACCGCCCAAGAGUUCAUAUCGACGGCGGUGUUUGGCACCUCGAUGUCGGCUCAUCACAUCCUGGGGCUGAAGUAGGUCCCAAGGGUAUGGCUGUUCGCCAUUUAAAGUGGUACGCGAGCUGGGUUUAGAACGUCGUGAGACAGUUCGGUCCCUAUCUGCCGUGGGCGCUGGAGAACUGAGGGGGGCUGCUCCUAGUACGAGAGGACCGGAGUGGACGCAUCACUGGUGUUCGGGUUGUCAUGCCAAUGGCACUGCCCGGUAGCUAAAUGCGGAAGAGAUAAGUGCUGAAAGCAUCUAAGCACGAAACUUGCCCCGAGAUGAGUUCUCCCUGACUCCUUGAGAGUCCUGAAGGAACGUUGAAGACGACGACGUUGAUAGGCCGGGUGUGUAAGCGCAGCGAUGCGUUGAGCUAACCGGUACUAAUGAACCGUGAGGCUUAACCUU
rnacentral:rRNA from 1 species